GAGAAAGCCUCUUGAUAUGCAUUAUUUCCAGAAACCCUGAAAUCACCAUUUGUUACCAUACAGCUGUUUUUUACCCCUGUUAAGCUUAACAUCAGGGUUUUUUUAGAGGACUGAUGUGUCUGUGGCCAUAUUCUGAGCUGCUGAAAUAGCAGGAUGUGUUCGAAAACAGAAGAGGACCAAAACCUCCACUUACAACAUCCUGCAGUUGGAACAUUGAGCAUGGAGGAUAUGACUCCCUGUUUCCUUAGACAAUAUGAGCUCCAUCUAGAGAUCCUGCCUGCCAGCGGGAAGGCAAGUAAAAAUCUCCAUUUAAACUCUAUGUUUUUAACUUUGAUGACACAUAACAAAUGCAUCAGUGUUACUUUUGUCCCCUGAAAGAUGGCAUGAAAUGGAACAGGGAUGCAAAUAUAUGCAGAGAACUGGCCAACAAAUAAACCAGCUGCAAACCCCAAAUGAAACCC